rnacentral:rRNA from 1 species
UACGAAGGGGACUAGCGUUGUUCGGAAUCACUGGGCGUAAAGCGCACGUAGGCGGAUGUGUCAGUCAGGGGUGAAAUCCCGGGGCUCAACCUCGGAACUGCCUUUGAUACUGUCGAUCUGGAGUAUGGAAGAGGGUGUGGGAAUUCCUGGUGUAGCGGUGAAAUGCGUAGAUAUCAGGAGGAACACCGGUGGCGAAGGCGCACACCUGGCCCGAUACUGACGCUGAGGCGCGAAAGCUAGGGGAGCAAACGGG